rnacentral:rRNA from 1 species
GACGUAGGGCGCGAGCGUUGUCCGGAUUUAUUGGGCGUAAAGAGCUCGUAGGCGGCUUGUUGCGUCGACUGUGAAAACCUGCGGCUCAACCGUGUGGUCUGCAGUCGAUACGGGCAGGCUGGAGUUCGGUAGGGGAGACUGGAAUUCCUGGUGUAGCGGUGAAAUGCGCAGAUAUCAGGAGGAACACCGGUGGCGAAGGCGGCCUGCUGGGCAGUGGCUGACGCUGAGGCGCGAAAGCUAGGGGAGCAAACGGG